ensembl:snoRNA small Cajal body-specific RNA 6
GGUCUGUGAUGAAUAGUAAAAGGUCUGACAGAUUACACUUCCAUCACCCUUUCAACUCCCAGCAGUUUCUCACCCAUCAUACUCCAGUAAUGUUGUGACUGGGGGAGAGUUUGCUGACAAAUUGUGAUGCAUUCCGUUUGUGUUCCCUAGAGCACCACAGGCACAAUUCUGAUCUGCAUCCAACAGAACCAGUCAAAAGGAGUAUGGGGUUUUGGAGGUGCAUAUCUGGGUACAUGAUCUCAGACUUCCUUUCUGAGACC